rnacentral:tRNA from 1 species
ACUUAGGUAGCUUAAUUUUAGAGCGUAGUACUGAAGAUACUAAGGUAAUUAAUUAAUUUUUAAGUA